rnacentral:rRNA from 1 species
CAGGCACAACUGAGUUAGCCAAUGACACCUUGCCCUGCCACAUCCCCACGGACCUGCAGCAGUAAUUAACAUUAGAUAUAAGCGAAAGCUUGAUCUAGUUAUAGUGAACUAAGGGCCGGUAAAUUUCGUGCCAGCCACCGCGGUUAUACGAAAGACCCAAAAUAGUGGCCUCCGGCGUAAAGCGUGGUUAGAAUACUUUCACAUAAGGAAAAACACCUUCUCCGCUGUAAAACGCUUAAGAAGACAAGAACACUAUAAUCCUUAAAACCCUUUAACCCCACGAAAGCCAGGACACAAACUGGGAUUAGAUACCCCACUAUGCCUAGCUAUAAACUAAGAUAGCAAAAUACAACCUAUCCGCCAGAGAACUACAAGCAAAAUACUUAAAACUCAAAGGACUUGGCGGCAUUCCACACCAACCUAGAGGAGCCCGUCUAAUAAUCGAUAAUACACGCUCAACCCAACCAUUCUUGGCCACUCCAGCCUAUAUACCGCCGUCGCCAGCUAACCUUGUGAAAGAAAAAUAGUAAGCAAAAUAGUCCACACUAAAACGUCAGGUCAAGGUGUAGCUAAUAAAAUGGAUAUGAUAGGCUACAUUUUCUAUUAUAGAAAAACACGGAAAAUACAAUGAAACCUUGUAAUAGAAGGUGAAUUUAGAAGUAAAUUAAGAAAGGAUCCUUAUUUAACCCUGCUMUGGAAUGCGCACACACCGNCCGUCCC